rnacentral:snRNA from 1 species
UUGUAUUUAGGAUAUUAGUAAUUAGCACACUGGAAUGAUACAGAGAAGAUUAGCAUGGCCCUGCACAAGGAUGCUGUGCAAAUUUGUGAAGUUUUCCAUAUUUUU